GACAGAGGUUGCAAACGUUGUUCGGAAUUACUGGGCAUAAAGCGCACGUAGGCGGUUCGUUAAGUCAUGUGUGAAAUCCCUCGGCUCAACCGAGGAAUUGCGCCUGAUACUGGCGGGCUAGAGAUCGAUAGGGGUGAGUGGAACUCCAGGUGGAGCGGUGAAAUGCGUAGAUAUCUGGAGGAACACCGGUGGCGAAAGCGGCUCACUGGAUCGAUACUGACGCUGAGGUGCGAAAGCUAGGGUAGCAAACGGG
rnacentral:rRNA from 1 species